ACGAACGCUGGCGGCGUGCUUAACACAUGCAAGUCGAACGGAAAGGCCCCUUUGGGGGUACUCGAGUGGCGAACGGGUGAGUAACACGUGAGUAACCUGCCCUUGACUUCGGGAUAACUUCAGGAAACUGGGGCUAAUACCGGAUAGGAAUCCUUGCUGCAUGGUGGGGGUUGGAAAGCUUCGGCGGUUUUGGAUGGACUCGCGGCUUAUCAGCUUGUUGGUGGGGUAGUGGCUUACCAAGGCUUUGACGGGUAGCCGGCCUGAGAGGGCGACCGGCCACAUUGGGACUGAGAUACGGCCCAGACUCCUACGGGAGGCAGCAGUGGGGAAGAUUGCACAAUGGGCGGAAGCCUGAUGCAGCAACGCCGCGUGCGGGAUGACGGCCUUCGGGUUGGAAACCGCUUUCAGCAGGGGCGAAGCUUGUGGUGACGGUACCUGCAGAAGAAGCACCGGCUAACUACGUG
rnacentral:rRNA from 1 species